rnacentral:rRNA from 1 species
AACGAACGCUGGCGGCGUGUCUUAAGCAUGCAAGUCGAGCGGCAAGCAGUAGCAAUACUGCCUAGAGCGGCGGACUGGUGAGUAACGCGUGGGUGAUCUGCCCUUGGGAUGGGGAUAGCCGUUAGAAAUAGCGGGUAAUACCGAAUACGUUCGUCGGACUACGGUCCGAUGAAGAAAGGCGCUUUGGCGCCACCCGAGGAUGAGCCUGCGUCUCAUUAGCUAGUUGGUGGGGUAAAAGCCUACCAAGGCGAUGAUGAGUAGCCGGCCUGAGAGGGUGUACGGCCACACUGGGACUGAGAUACGGCCCAGACUCCUACGGGAGGCAGCAGCUAAGAAUAUUCCGCAAUGGACGAAAGUCUGACGGAGCGACGCCGCGUGGACGAUGAAGGCCGUGAGGUUGUAAAAUCCUUUUGCUGGGGAAGAAUAACCAUGGGAGGGAAUGCCCGUGGGAUGACAUGAACCGGCGAAUAAGCCCCGGCUAACUACGUGCCAGCAGCCG